GCAUAAUAACUUGCCUAUUAAUUGUAGGCUAGAAUGAACGGGGUAACGAAAUAAGAGCUGUCUCAAUAGACAUCCCAUAAACUAAUAUCCAAGUGAAGAAGCUUAGAUAAUAAUAUAGGACAAGAAGACCCUAUAGAGCUUUAUCUUACCUACAUAAUUCAUGUAAUACGAUUCGGUUGGGGCGACCAAGGAAAAUUCAUCCUUAAAUUUAAAGAUUCAUUUAUCUCCCAAAAGAUCCUUAAAAUAAGAUCAUCAAAACUAGCUACCUUAGGGAUAACAGGCUAAUCCCAUUAUAGAGCUCUUAUCAACAAUGGGGA
rnacentral:rRNA from 1 species